rnacentral:rRNA from 1 species
GAUGAACGCUGGCGGCGUGCCUAAUACAUGCAAGUCGAGCGAACAGACGAGGAGCUUGCUCCUCUGACGUUAGCGGCGGACGGGUGAGUAACACGUGGAUAACCUACCUAUAAGACUGGGAUAACUUCGGGAAACCGGAGCUAAUACCGGAUAAUAUAUUGAACCGCAUGGUUCAAUAGUGAAAGACGGUUUUGCUGUCACUUAUAGAUGGAUCCGCGCCGCAUUAGCUAGUUGGUAAGGUAACGGCUUACCAAGGCAACGAUGCGUAGCCGACCUGAGAGGGUGAUCGGCCACACUGGAACUGAGACACGGUCCAGACUCCUACGGGAGGCAGCAGUAGGGAAUCUUCCGCAAAGGGCGAAAGCCUGACGGAGCAACGCCGCGUGAGUGAUGAAGGUCUUCGGAUCGUAAAACUCUGUUAUUGGGGAAGAACAAAUGUGUAAGUAACUAUGCACGUCUUGACGGUACCUAAUCAGAAAGCCACGGCUAACUACGUG